ACGCCCUAAACGAUGAUUACUAAAUGUUGGAGAAAUUCAGUGUUGUAGCUAACGCAAUAAGUAAUCCGCCUGGGGAGUAUGUACGCAAGUAUGAAACUUAAAGGAAUUGACGGGGCCCCGCACAAGCGGUGGAGUAUGCGGUUUAAUUCGACGCAACGCGAAGAACCUUACCAGGCCUUGACAUCCCUUGCAAAACUAUAGAGAUAUAGCAGAGGUUAUCAAGGUGACAAGUGGUGCAUGGUUGUCGUCAGCUCGUGUCGUGAGAUGUUGGGUUAAGUCCCGCAACGAGCGCAACCCCUGUCUUUAGUUACCAUCAUUCAGUUGGGGACUCUAGAGAGACUGCCGGUGAUAAACCGGAGGAAGGUGGGGAUGACGUCAAAUCAUCAUGCCCUUUAUGGCCUGGGCUACACGCGUACUACAAUGGCGUACACAACGGGAAGCAAUACGGUAACGUGGAGCAAAUCCUCAAAUUACGUCUCAGUUCAGAUUGAGGUCUGCAACUCGACCUCAUGAAGUUGGAAUCGCUAGUAAUCGCGAAUCAGCAUGUCGCGGUGAAUACGUUCUCGGGGCUUGUACACACCGCCCGUCAAACCAUGAGAGUUGGUAAUACCCGAAGCUAGUGGCAUAACCGUAAGGAGUGAGCUAUCUAAGGUAGGACCAAUGAUUGGGGUU
rnacentral:rRNA from 1 species